CUCUCUCCCCUCAGUUUGGCUGCCGAUAAAAUCCCAAUUCACCACUAUUCCAUUUCCCCGGUAACCAAAUAAAGAAUCCAUUUUUUAAAGCUCCCAACUUUCUCCUUCAAUUGGAUUAAAAUUUGUUAAUUUUUUGUCAAAUUCGUUGACUUGCAACUUUGUGGUUCAGUUUGUGAAGGGAAUUUAUGGAAAUUGACAUUGAUGAGUUUCUGAGUCGCAACCGUCAGGUGAGCAUUCUGACGAAGAGGGCGAUUUAUAUGUGAGGAUAUUGCAAGUCCAAGCAGACAGGUCGGAAUGGGAAGGAGCAGCAGUUAAGGAUCCAGAAGCAGCUCUUCAGAGCUUUUUGGGUGCACGGCGGGGGCUAAUUGGUGGUGGUUGUACAUUGUUUGCGAUCGCGAGCACACCACCUCUGCUGCCUCAUAUGGGUUGCUUUUCACUUAGGGUGCUGCUAGAGAUUACUUACCAGUUACAACUAUGCUAAGUCAAUGGAAGAGUGGGGUUUGCUCUGCAAUACACACUGAAGGUUCACGGUCUUUCAACAGAUGCCAAGAAUUGAAAAUUUUGAUUGCAAGGUGGUUGGUGGUUCUAAUUCAUGAGCGUUUAUAAUUCAAAUAUCAACUAAUACGUUUAGGCACCUGCAAAUUUGAAGUGUGAUUGGCUUGCUGGAGAUGUGUGUUUUCUUGAAGAAAGGGUUGCAGAGAAGAUGAAUAUCAUUGGAGGACCAAGGUUGGAACUAGGACUUGAGUUUGUUUUAGAGUGAAACAAAGUCUACAUGUUUAGGUACACAACUGUAGCAUAACUCAGUGAUUUGGUAUUCUUAAUUUAACUACUCAUUUUGUUGUUAGCUUUUACUAAAAUAUUUGAAUAUGUGAAUUUUUAUAAAGUAAAUAUGCAAUUUUGUAAAUAAAUAUCUUUAUAUAUAUAUAUAUUUUUUAUUUGUUUAUUGAUUAAAUUUUUUUUUUUUUUUUGAAAAUUUUUGUACAACAGGCUAUAGCCGUGAUCAAUUUGUAAUCCACAAUGACCAUAACACGUGGUAUUAGAUCCCAAUCUACCACAUGCACAAUCCGUGGUUACAUUGCAUUUGACAACGGGCAUAGCCUGUGGUAGAAAUGAAGACUUUUAUCACAUCCAGAAUACUAACGGACACGAUAUUUGUGGUAGAUUACAAUUUAUCACGAACAUCCACCGUGGUAGAUGAGCUUUUUUCUACUAGUGAUUAUAUUAUAUUGCUAUAAUGGUGUUCUUCCAUUCGUCACGACUUUGUUUUUUAAAGUUCCUUGAUGGCUUUCAUUGAAUAAGCGAAACAAAUAGUUCACAACAAGCAAACAGAGUAGCCUCUAGCUACUAACCAAUUAACCGUACAAUCUUCAACAAGUAAAUAUGACAUUAAGUCAGAAGGAUUCUCAAAUUAAUUACAAAAAC